rnacentral:tRNA from 2 species
GGCCCGUUCGUCUAUCGCGUAGGAUACCGCUCUUUCAAGGCGGAGAGGUGGGUUCGAUUCCCAUACGGGUCAC